GGCGCUUGCGUCACCGCGGGGGCGGCUUACAGCUUGGCGCGCUGUGCCUGCAGCCCGGCCAGCUGGCCGUUCCAGUCGGCCAGGCGCAC
rnacentral:tRNA from 1 species